GAUGAACGCUGGCGGCGUGCCUAAUACAUGCAAGUCGAGCGAACAGACGAGGAGCUUGCUCCUUUGACGUUAGCGGCGGACGGGUGAGUAACACGUAGGUAACCUACCUAUAAGACUGGGAUAACUUCGGGAAACCGGAGCUAAUACCGGAUAAUAUUUCGAACCGCAUGGUUCGAUAGUGAAAGAUGGCUUUGCUAUCACUUAUAGAUGGACCUGCGCCGUAUUAGCUAGUUGGUAAGGUAACGGCUUACCAAGGCAACGAUACGUAGCCGACCUGAGAGGGUGAUCGGCCACACUGGAACUGAGACACGGUCCAGACUCCUACGGGAGGCAGCAGUAGGGAAUCUUCCGCAAUGGGCGAAAGCCUGACGGAGCAACGCCGCGUGAGUGAUGAAGGUCUUCUGAUCGUAAAACUCUGUUAUUAGGGAAGAACAAACGUGUAAGUAACUGUGCACGUCUGGACGGUACCUAAGCAGAAAGCCACGGCUAACUACGU
rnacentral:rRNA from 1 species